rnacentral:rRNA from 1 species
UUCAUUCGCGUUUCGGCCGUCGGCGUUGAGCGGUCGCGUGACGGACGGCGUUCGCGUCGUCCGCGCCUUCCGUUCUCUGAACCGGCGUCGAACGCGUGCACUUUUCCCCUAGUAGGACGUCGCGAUCCGUCGGGCGUCGGUCUAAGGCUCGCGGUGGAGCACGCGCGAACGUUUCGGCGUUUCGCGCGUACCCGCGGUGUCCCGGCCGACUCGCUCGACGGUAUACUUAAGGCGCGGGGCCGCUACUUAGUUAGCGUUCGGCCCGCGGCAAGAGCGUCCGGUGUCGACGGCGAUCGGACCCGGUGCCGAUUCUGUCCCCGGACGACUGUUGGCCGCGGCGAUCUCGAACAGACCUCGUUGAAACGCCGAUCGGCGACGCUAUAGCUUUGGGUACUUUCAGGACCCGUCUUGAAACACGGACCAAGGAGUCUAGCAUGUGCGCGAGUCAUUGGGACAUAACUAAACCUAAAGGCGCAAUGAAAGUAAAGGUUCGCCUUGCGCGAACCGAGGGAAGACGAGCGGUUCGCCCUUAAAAGCGGCCGCUCCGCACUCCCGGGGCGUCUCGUUCUCAUCGCGAGAAGAGGCGCACCAAGAGCGUACACGCUGGGACCCGAAAGAUGGUGAACUAUGCCUGGUCAGGACGAAGUCAGGGGAAACCCUGAUGGAGGUCCGUAGCGAUUCUGACGUGCAAAUCGAUCGUCGGAACUGG